rnacentral:rRNA from 1 species
CGUGUAGGUGGUUAUGUAAGUUGGAUGUGAAAUCCCUCGGCUCAACCGAGGAACUGCAUUCAAAACUGUGUAACUAGAGUGUAGGAGCGGAAAGCGGAAUUCCUGGUGUAGCGGUGAAAUGCGUAGAUAUCAGGAAGAACACCGGUGGCGAAGGCGGCUUUCUGGACUAACACUGACACUAAGGCGCGAAAGCUAGGGGAGCGAACAGGAUUAGAUACCCUGGUAGUCC